AACGCACCUUGCGCUCCUUGGUAUUCCGAGGAGCAUGCCUGUUUGAGUGUCAUUAAUAUAUCAACCUCUUCAGCUUUUGCUUGUUGAGUGUUGGAUGUGGGGGCUUUUUGCUGGUCUUUUUAAAGAAGUCAGCUCCCCUAAAAUUUAUUAGCGGAACAAUUUGUUGACCGUUCAUUGGUGUGAUAAUUAUCUACGCUAUUAACGUGAGGCAGUUCAGCUUCUAACAGUCCAUUGACUUGGACAGUUUUUCAUUAAUGUGACCUCAAAUCAGGUAGGACUACCCGCUGAACUUAA
rnacentral:misc_RNA from 1 species